rnacentral:rRNA from 1 species
GAUGAACGCUGGCGGCGUGCCUAAUACAUGCAAGUCGAGCGAACAGAUAAGGAGCUUGCUCCUUUGACGUUAGCGGCGGACGGGUGAGUAACACGUGGGUAACCUACCUAUAAGACUGGGAUAACUUCGGGAAACCGGAGCUAAUACCAGAUAAUAUUUCGAACCGCAUGGUUCGAUAGUGAAAGAUGGUUUUGCUAUCACUUAUAGGUGGACCCGCGCCGUAUUAGCUAGUUGGUAAGGUAACGGCUUACCAAGGCGACGAUACGUAGCCGACCUGAGAGGGUGAUCGGCCACACUGGAACUGAGACACGGUCCAGACUCCUACGGGAGGCAGCAGUAGGGAAUCUUCCGCAAUGGGCGAAAGCCUGACGGAGCAACGCCGCGUGAGUGAUGAAGGUCUUCGGAUCGUAAAACUCUGUUAUUAGGGAAGAACAUACGUGUAAGUAACUGUGCACGUCUUGACGGUACCUAAUCAGAAAGCCACGGCUAACUACGUGCCAGCAGCCGCGGUAAUACGUAGGUGGCAAGCGUUAUCCGGAAUUAUUGGGCGUAAAGCGCGCGUAGGCGGUUUUUUAAGUCUGAUGUGAAAGCCCACGGCUCAACCGUGGAGGGUCAUUGGAAACUGGAAAACUUGAGUGCAGAAGAGGAAAGUGGAAUUCCAUGUGUAGCGGUGAAAUGCGCAGAGAUAUGGAGGAACACCAGUGGCGAAGGCGACUUUCUGGUCUGUAACUGACGCUGAUGUGCGAAAGCGUGGGGAUCAAACAGGAUUAGAUACCCUGGUAGUCCACGCCGUAAACGAUGAGUGCUAAGUGUUAGGGGGUUUCCGCCCCUUAGUGCUGCAGCUAACGCAUUAAGCACUCCGCCUGGGGAGUACGACCGCAAGGUUGAAACUCAAAGGAAUUGACGGGGACCCGCACAAGCGGUGGAGCAUGUGGUUUAAUUCGAAGCAACGCGAAGAACCUUACCAAAUCUUGACAUCCUUUGACAACUCUAGAGAUAGAGCUUUCCCCUUCGGGGGACAAAGUGACAGGUGGUGCAUGGUUGUCGUCAGCUCGUGUCGUGAGAUGUUGGGUUAAGUCCCGCAACGAGCGCAACCCUUAAGCUUAGUUACCAUCAUUAAGUUGGGCACUCUAAGUUGACUGCCGGUGACAAACCGGAGGAAGGUGGGGAUGACGUCAAAUCAUCAUGCCCCUUAUGAUUUGGGCUACACACGUGCUACAAUGGACAAUACAAAGGGCAGCGAAACCGCGAGGUCAAGCAAAUCCCAUAAAGUUGUUCUCAGUUCGGAUUGUAGUCUGCAACUCGACUACAUGAAGUUGGAAUCGCUAGUAAUCGUAGAUCAGCAUGCUACGGUGAAUACGUUCCCGGGUCU